rnacentral:rRNA from 1 species
AGUAAGACCUGCUCAAUGCCUUUUCCUGUCAAUAGCCGCAGUAUACCUGUGCUAAGGUAGCAUAAUCAUUAGCUUCCCAAUUAGAAGAUAGUAUGAAAGGUUAAACGAUAUAAAACUAUCCCUAAAUAAUUAAUUAAAUUAACUUUUUUGUAAAAAUGCGAAAAUACGAAAACAAGACGACAAGACCCUGAUAAACUUAACCAUUUAGUUGGGGUAACAAAAUAAAAAAACUUUACAUUAAUUUAUAAACCAACCUAUUAAAAUUAAAAAAGACUAGUUACUACAGGGAUAACAGCGCAAUAUUUCUCUAGAGUUCAUAUCCAAAGAAAAACUUACGACCUCGAUGUUGAAUUAAUUCCCUUCCAAACGUAAAAGUUAAGAAAGUUAGUCUGUUCGACUAUUAAUAAAUU